GUCACAGGGAACAGAAACCGGAGCCACAGAGGACAGGGUAGAGUCGCAGAAAGGAGAGACACACAUACAUGGAAAGAGGAGCUUUCUCCAAUCUUAAUGAUUCCCAGCUCUCAGCCUCGUUUCUGUCCUUAUCGUGCAGCACGAGGCGUCUCCUGCUCUUGGCAAAUCAGUCUCUGGCUUGCCUUUAGGAAAAUCACCUUCUCCAGACACAAAUGUGGCUUUCUGCAGCCCAGCUCCAAAACCGCCCCUGCCCUUUGGAUCACCCCGCCUCAGCUGCCAGCGCCCCUUGGAAGUCUGACCAUCUCAUCCUGGCAUUCAAGGACCCACGUGAUUCAGUCUCACUGCCUCUCAGAGUUAUGUCUCUUUUUGGCUACAGGCAACCCAGCCUGCAAGCAAACUGUCCUGCUUUGGACCCUGCUGUGUCACUCUCCGCACCAGCCUUUGCCUCUGCUCUUCGCUCUAUGAAGUCCUCCCAGGCUGCACGGAAGGACGACUUUCUCAGGUCUCUUAGGGAUGGAGACUCAGGGACAUCAGAACACAUCUCAGCGGUGGUGACUAGUCCUCGGAUUUCCUGCCAUGGUGCUGCCAUUCCCACCGCCCGUGCCCUCUGCCUAGGCUGUUCCUGCUGCACCGAACGCCUCCUCCUGCCACCGCCCUCCCUCCUUUCUUUAGAAGCCCCUGCCAGCACCUGAGCUCUCUGCUGAUUGCUGUUCCUCCCAGUCUGUGGAAGCUUUGCCCAUAUGCUUUCCUUAAAAGGGUUCUGGGCAGGGCAGGCGCCCCCAUUUCUCAGGGAUCCCCUCCAGGACAACGCCUUUUCCUUGUGUCUUCAGCUCUCCUUACCAGAUAUCUAUAUAUUUGUAUAUAUUCAGUUUCACCAACAACGCAUCAAGUACUUUUUUUUUUUUAAGUAAAGAACCGAAGUCAUUGAACUGGAGUCCCAUUGAUUCCCUCCCCCUCGCCUCCCCAAAUCUGGCACCUGCCCAAGGUAUCCUCAGAACCAUUUGGGGUGUCCUUU
rnacentral:lncRNA from 1 species